GCGAGUCGAGCGGUAGAGAGAAGCUUGCUUCUCUUGAGAGCGGCGGACGGGUGAGUAAUGCCUAGGAAUCUGCCUGGUAGUGGGGGAUAACGUCCGGAAACGGACGCUAAUACCGCAUACGUCCUACGGGAGAAAGCAGGGGACCUUCGGGCCUUGCGCUAUCAGAUGAGCCUAGGUCGGAUUAGCUAGUUGGUGAGGUAAUGGCUCACCAAGGCGACGAUCCGUAACUGGUCUGAGAGGAUGAUCAGUCACACUGGAACUGAGACACGGUCCAGACUCCUACGGGAGGCAGCAGUGGGGAAUAUUGGACAAUGGGCGAAAGCCUGAUCCAGCCAUGCCGCGUGUGUGAAGAAGGUCUUCGGAUUGUAAAGCACUUUAAGUUGGGAGGAAGGGCAUUAACCUAAUACGUUAGUGUUUUGACGUUACCGACAGAAUAAGCACCGGCUAACUCUGUGCCAGCAGCCGCGGUAAUACAGAGGGUGCAAGCGUUAAUCGGAAUUACUGGGCGUAAAGCGCGCGUAGGUGGUUUGUUAGGUUGGAUGUGAAAUCCUCGGGCUCAACCUG
rnacentral:rRNA from 1 species